GAUGAACGCUAGCGGCAGGCCUAACACAUGCAAGUCGAGGGGUAGAAGGAGCUUGCUCCUUUGAGACCGGCGCACGGGUGCGUAACGCGUAUGCAAUCUACCUUUUACAGAGGGAUAGCCCAGAGAAAUUUGGAUUAAUACCUCGUAGUAUAUAUCAUUCGCAUGUUUGGUAUAUUAAAGUUCCAACGGUAAAAGAUGAGCAUGCGUCCCAUUAGUUAGUUGGUAAGGUAACGGCUUACCAAGACGAUGAUGGGUAGGGGUCCUGAGAGGGAGGUCCCCCACACUGGUACUGAGACACGGACCAGACUCCUACGGGAGGCAGCAGUGAGGAAUAUUGGUCAAUGGACGCAAGUCUGAACCAACCAUGCCGCGUGCAGGAAGACGGUCCUAUGGAUUGUAAACUGCUUUUGUACGGGAAGAAACACUCCUACGUGUAGGAGCCUGACGGUACCGUAAGAAUAAGGAUCGGCUAACUCCGUGCCAGCAGCCGCCGUAAGAC
rnacentral:rRNA from 1 species